AUUGAACGCUGGCGGAAUGCUUUACACAUGCAAGUCGAACGGCAGCACGGACUUCGGUCUGGUGGCGAGUGGCGAACGGGUGAGUAAUGUAUCGGAACGUGCCCAGUCGUGGGGGAUAACGUUGUGAAAAUUACGCUAAUACCGCAUACGAUCUAUGGAUGAAAGCGGGGGAUCGCAAGACCUCGCGCGAUUGGAGCGGCCGAUAUCAGAUUAGGUAGUUGGUGGGGGAAAGGCCCACCAGGCCCACGAUCUGUAGCUGGUCUGAGAGGACGACCCGCCACACUGGACCUGAGACACGGGCCAGACUCCUGCGGGAGGCAGCAGUGGGGAAUUUUGGACAAGGGGCGAAAGCCUGAUCCAGCCAUUCCGCGUGCAGGAUGAAGGCCCUCGGGUUGUAAACUGCUUUUGGACAGAACGAAAAGGUUUCUACUAAUACUAGGAGCUCAUGACGGUACUGUAAGAAUAAGCACCGGCUAACUACGUGCCAGCCGCCGCAGUAA
rnacentral:rRNA from 1 species